UCAAGCUAAAAAGAGCGCAGGGUGGAUGCCUUGGCACUAAGAGCCGAUGAAAGACGUGAUAAGCUGCGAUAAGCUACGGGGAGGAGCACAUAUCCAUUGAUCCGUAGAUUUCUGAAUGGGGAAACCCGGCUGAGCAUACCUCAGUCACCGUGCACUGAAUCCAUAGGUGUACGGAGGGAACCCGGUGAACUGAAACAUCUAAGUAGCCGGAGGAAGAGAAAGAAAACUCGAUUUUCAAAGUAGCGGCGAGCGAAAUGGAAAGAGCCCAAACCGGAGUGCGUGCACUCCGGGGUUCGGACUGCAUUUAUGACUUCUGACUGUAGCGGAACGGUUCUGGAAAGACCGGCCAGAGAGGGUGAGAGCCCCGUAGGCGAAACGGAAAGAAGCAGAGCAGGAUCCAGAGUACCACGAGACACGAGAAACCUUGUGGGAAUGAGCGGGGACCACCCCGUAAGGCUAAAUACUCCUUAGUGACCGAUAGAGCAGAGUACUGUGAAGGAAAGGUGAAAAGGACCCCGGGAGGGGAGUGAAAGAGAACCUGAAACCCUGUGUUUACAAACUGUGGAAGUACCAUACGAGUACAACCGCGUACUUUUUGUAGAACGGUCCGGCGAGUUACGUUUACUGGCGAGGUUAAGCACUUAAGGUGCGGAGCCGAAGGGAUACCAAGUCUUAACAGGGCGUAAAGUCAGUGUACGUAGACCCGAAACCGGGUGAUCUACCCAUGUCCAGGCUGAAGUUGCCGUAAAAGGCAAUGGAGGGCCGAACGCACAUCCGUUGAAAAGGGUGGCGAUGAGGUGUGGGUAGGGGAGAAAUUCCAAUCGAACCCGGAGAUAGCUGGUUCUCCUCGAAAUAGCUUUAGGGCUAGCCUCGUUUUAGUCUUAUGGAGGUAGAGCACUGAAUUUCCGCGGGGGCGUCAAAGCUUACCAAAGAAUAUCAAACUCCGAAUGCCAUGUAGAUGAUGAAUGGGAGUCAGACUGCACGAGAUAAGUUGGGUGGUCAAAAGGGAAAGAGCCCAGACCUACAGCUAAGGUCCCAAAGUGCGUGUUAAGUGGAAAAGGAUGUGGGAUUUCGAAGACAACUAGGAUGUUGGCUCAGAAGCAGCCACACAUUAAAAGAGUGCGUAAUAGCUCACUAGUCGAGAGGUCCUGCGCCGAAAAUGUCCGGGGCUGAAACACGACACCGAAGCUUAGGAACAGAAAUGUUGGUAGAGGAGCAUUGUUAGCGGAACGAAGCCAUACCGGAAGGAGUGGUGGACUGCUAAGAAGAGAGAAUGCCGGAAUGAGUAGCGAGAUUGAAGUGAGAAUCUUCAAGGCCGAAUAUCUAAGGUUUCCAGGGUAAAGCUGAUCUGCCCUGGGUAAGUCGGGACCUAAGGCGAGGUCGAAAGACGUAGCCGAUGGACAACAGGUUGAAAUUCCUGUACUGCGAUAUAUCAGAAAUGUGGGGACACAGAAGGAAAGUGUGAGCCGGGAAAGGAAAGACCGGUGCAAGCACAGGAGGAGAGAUACAGGCAAAUCCGUAUCUUAAUCCAAUGGUGUUACGCGGAGCGAACAAAAGUAGCGAAGCACAUGGACCAUCUGUCGAGAAAAGCCGCUAUUGUGUAUAUUGUACCCGUACCGUAAACCGACACAGGUGGAUGAGGAGAGAAUCCUAAGGCCGGCGGGAGAAGCAUUGUUAAGGAACUCGGCAAAAUGACCCCGUAACUUCGGGAGAAGGGGUGCUCCAGAGAUGGAGCCGCAGAGAACUGGCCCAAGCAACUGUUUAGCAAAAACACAGGUCUAUGCAAAACCGAAAGGUGAGGUAUAUGGGCUGACGCCUGCCCGGUGCUGGAAGGUUAAGAGGAGAGGUUAGAGCAAUCGAAGCUUUGAAUUUAAGCCCCAGUAAACGGCGGCCGUAACUAUAACGGUCCUAAGGUAGCGAAAUUCCUUGUCGGG
rnacentral:rRNA from 1 species